rnacentral:rRNA from 1 species
CGGAAAGGCCUGCAGCUUGCUGCGGGUACUCGAGUGGCGAACGGGUGAGUAACACGUGGGUGAUCUGCCUUGCACUUCGGGAUAAGCUUGGGAAACUGGGUCUAAUACCGGAUAGGACAGCUGUUUAGUGUCAGUUGUGGAAAGUUUUUUCGGUGCAAGAUGAGCUCGCGGCCUAUCAGCUUGUUGGUGGGGUAAUGGCCUACCAAGGCGUCGACGGGUAGCCGGCCUGAGAGGGUGUACGGCCACAUUGGGACUGAGAUACGGCCCAGACUCCUACGGGAGGCAGCAGUGGGGAAUAUUGCACAAUGGGCGGAAGCCUGAUGCAGCGACGCCGCGUGGGGGAUGAAGGCCUUCGGGUUGUAAACUCCUUUCGACAGGGACGAAGCGUAAGUGACGGUACCUGUAUAAGAAGCACCGGCUAACUACGUGCCAGCAGCCGCGGUAAUACGUAGGGUGCGAGCGUUGUCCGGAAUUACUGGGCGUAAAGAGCUCGUAGGUGGUUUGUCGCGUCGUCUGUGAAAUUCCGGGGCUUAACUCCGGGCGUGCAGGCGAUACGGGCUGACUUGAGUGCUGUAGGGGAGACUGGAAUUCCUGGUGUAGCGGUGAAAUGCGCAGAUAUCAGGAGGAACACCGAUGGCGAAGGCCAGGUCUCUGGGCAGUAACUGACGCUGAGGAGCGAAAGCAUGGGUAGCGAACAGGAUUAGAUACCCUGGUAGUCCAUGCCGUAAACGGUGGGCGCUAGGUGUAGGGGGCUUCCACGUCUUCUGUGCCGUAGCUACGCAUAAGCGCCCCGCCUGGGGA